CUCUUUCUCGAUUCAGUGGAUGGUGGUGCAUGGCCGUUCUUAGUUGGUGGAGUGAUCUGUCUGGUUAAUUCCGAUAACGAACGAGACUCUCCCCUGCUAANUAGUCGGUUGGAUCUUGAUCAGUGGGUUGAGUGCCGAGUAACUCUCGCUGUGCGUGGUGUGCGUCGCGUUCCUCACGGUUCGUUGCGUGCUCAUGUGUGGCGUUGGAUGCCUUGGAUCACACUGCACCCCAAGUCCGCCGCUUUGCUAUAACUCUUCUUAGAGGGAUUCACGGCACUGAAGCCGUAAGAGACUGAGAGCAAUAACAGGUCUGUGAUGCCCUUAGAUGCUCUGGGCCGCACGCGCGCUACAAUGCCGGGCACAGCAGGUGUUUCUCCUGCUCCGACAGGAGCGGGUAACCCUCUGAAAGCCAGUGUUCUUGCAAGUGCUUCCUCCCUCGUGGAGUUGCACAGAGGCGUGCUUGGGCCUGGGACUUGCAAUUCUUUCCCACCAACGAGGAAUGCCUAGUAGCGGCGGGUCACUGAGCCCGCUGUGACUCAGUCCCUGCCCUUUGUACACACCGCCCGUCGCUACUACCGAUUGGGUGUACCAGUGAGAGCCUUGGACUGGCGUCCGUUGUUGCUCGCAAGAGUGACAAGCGGGUCCGACGGAAAGAGGUCCGAACUGGUGCACUUAGAGGAAGUAAAAGUCGUAACAAGGUUUCCGUAGGUGAACCUGCGGA
rnacentral:rRNA from 1 species